rnacentral:lncRNA from 1 species
UUUCUCCUUCUCUGCUUUUUGAAGAAGUUGUUUCUCACAACAGAUCCGUGCUUCACGUUCCUCAUCCAGUUCCACACGCAUUUGAGAGAGCUCAGCCAUUACUUUUUCCCAUUUUCCAAUAGCUUCUUGGGUCUCCUGAUAAGAUUUCUUCAAGGCUGACUCCUUCUCAUGGAGUUGCUCAUUUAGCUUCAGACAUCUCUCUACUAAAUUGGUUGUCUCAUCAUCCUUUACAUCAACAUCAUGGUCACUUAUUUUGCUUUGGUGCAGGGAGCUAUCUGACAAAAAUGAAACAAAGGCCUUUGCACUCACCUCAGUCUCUUCAAAAGUCUCUUCAGCCAAAUCACUAGGAUGUCUUUCCUCAUCAAGACCAAAGCUUAAUGGAGAUAGAAAGUCUCUGCUGGCUUCUAGAAGCACACUACUGUCUAACCCAUACCUACUGCACCUACCUUCUUCAAUGGCAUAACCUUCAGAAGUGCUGGAUGCAUAUGACUCUCUUGGUCUCUCUGUGGAGAUGAGGUAUUUAGCCAAUAUACCUUCAUCACCACUGAAAAGCCCCAGUUCUGGCAAGUGUUCUUGAGACAGGUUACCAGCUUCACUAUUUUCAUUAUUCUCUGUGAUCUCUGAAUUCUUAAUUUCUAUUAAUUGAUUCCUUGAGGAGUCUACUCCGAAGCCAUGAUGAAACUCUAGUUCUUCAUGAACUAGCUCAUCUUCAUCUGUCAACUGGUGUGCUUUAUUCCACAUCUCAUCAAGCUCUGCUCUCAUCUCUGAAAAAGUCUGGUUUUCCCUCAAUUUCAUUAACGUUUCAUUGGAAACAAUCUCUUCAUCAUGCUUUUGCCUUAUGUCUAUAGUGUUUUUAGCCUCACAAAGUUGCUUCUCAUUUAAUUCCUUGAUAAAAGAAUUCAGUUUCUGAAUCUUUCCAUUCGAGGACUGUUUUUCUUGUUCAUAUUGCUCAUGAAGUUGCUUCUCAUUUAAUUCCUUGAUGAAAGAAUUCAGUUUCUGAAUCUUUCCAUUCGAGGACUGUAUUUCUUGUUUAUAUUGCUCAGCUUCCUUGAGCUGCUCUUCUGCAUCA